GGGGGCGCACUGGUUUCGACGUGGAUGUAGAAGCCGGAGCGGCAGGCCGAGGCGCCGCUGGCCUCGUAAAAAAGCGGCAACACAGUAAUUGCCAACAACGAUUACGACUACGCUUACGCUGCCUAGUCAGCGAGGCAACUGACCGCAUAGCCGGUCGCGCUACUCGGGACCACGCCUGAUAAUCCCGAGCGGCGACAUUUAUCAGGCUGGCGGAAACCGGCGCUCGCCGGGGUUUUCCGUGAGACUGUCACCGGCGGGCUUGCCGCGUUGCGCCUGGUCAGGGGCCACCAGCGCGGCGAGAUUUAAUCCUGGCCUAAGCCUGUAGAUGCUUCGCGUGGAGUAUUCGCGGACGGGGGUUCGAUUCCCCCCGCCUCCACCA
rfam:Desulfovibrio sp. 6_1_46AFAA genomic scaffold supercont1.1, whole genome shotgun sequence.